GUGAGUCAUCGAAUCUUUGAACGCACAUUGCGCCCGCCAGUAUUCUGGCGGGCAUGCCUGUCCGAGCGUCAUUUCAACCCUCAAGCCCCCGGGCUUGGUGUUGGAGAUCGGCGUGCCCCCCGGGGCGCGCCGGCUCCCAAAUAUAGUGGCGGUCUCGCUGUAGCUUCCUCUGCGUAGUAGCACACCUCGCACUGGAAAACAGCGUGGCCACGCCGUUAAACCCCCCACUUCUGAAAGGUUGACCUCGGAUCAGGUAGGAAUACCCGCUGAACUUAAGCAUAUCAAUAAGCGGAGGA
rnacentral:misc_RNA from 1 species